GCCUCAGCCUCCAGAGGAGCUGGGACUACAGGCGCCCGGCACCAGACUCGACUAAUUUUUUGUAUUUUUAGUAGAGACGAGUUUCACCGUGUUAGGCAGGAUAGUCUCGAUCUCCUGACCUCGUGAUCCGCCCGCCUCAGCCUCCCAAAGUGCCGGCGUGAUUACAUGUGUGAGCCACCGCACCGGCCAGACACACUGAACUUUAAGGAAGUCAACUCACCUCACCGGCAUCAGGCAUCUUCAUCAGGAAAUUCUGUGAUGUGGUACACAAAGUUCAGCACUGUCACAGAGAAGUCAGAGAGACUGAUGGAUGCCUUUAAAAUAUCCUCAACGCUGCACGUAAAAGGCACGUGUUGCUGUGGGUGAAGAAGUUAAUAUGUGUAAUUAAUGUAGCCGUAAAGGAAAAUGGCAAUGUUGUAUUGAAUACUGAAUCUUGACUGUGGUGACCAUGCCAGGAAUAAGAUAAGCAGAGCCCAGUUCCUGCUUUGCCGCUAACUCAGCAACUCACCCAAGGGGAGCUGGAGAGUAUGCCAGAAAUGAUACAUACGGCUAUAAAGACAGAGUGUCCAAGUUUGACUCAGUUCAUCUCCGGGCUCUUCUCACUUCCGACAUUGCCCCGUUUUGUGAACUUGACUGUGUCUCUUUCUACAUUCUGGAAGCAACAGUGUAAUACUCUGCAGUUCUAGGUUCCCUAGCCUCAUUCAUGCUGUUGCCUGUGCCCCGCACUUAGCAGAUGAGCCAGUGGAUAAGGUUCUGCAGCUCUGCUUCCCAGUCUUUCUGACAUUUCUGCUCACAAUUGUUGAAUUACAAAGCACCAGCUGGUCCCUCGUCAGCAGCGGCCUCCACGCAAUCAUGGGAAAUGCUGCAUUCCGUCACAGGGUGCCCUGAGAUGUCCCUGCUCUGUUUCCUCUCUUCACCUUGCAAGGCAGCUGACAUCCUUUAUUUUCUCAUAACGUCACUGCCUGGAAUUUCCGCUUCCAUCAAUCCGGCAGUCCCACAGAUAUAAGAACCCAUGCAGUGGGCACGGUUUCAGUGUGGUGACCCUGUGCUCUAAAACCCUUUGUCAGGGGAAACACAGUUUUUAUGUAUUUGUGUCUGAAACAAAAAAUGACGGAACGUCACAUGCAAGUGGUGACCGUAGCUAUGUGGCUUUCCUGACUCAUGGCAGCAAACUAACAUCUCAGAUUCCAUCAUCUAACCCAGCCAACGAGGCACUGUGGAUCCUGCUUUCAAGUGUUUUCUGCAUUACUGACAGCAAAUUACUGAGAAGGCAGAAUCCAAUGAUAGCUUUCCAUCCUCAUUUUGCACCGUAUUUUCAGCUUGCUGCCACAUUUGUUUUCCUAAGGAGGUAAUAAAUAAAUUGGAAGAAACACUGAAAAUACAGCAAAGAGUCAGGAGUCUGGCUUCACAAUCUGCGACAGCUGAGGCCCAGACAUACUUAUUUUGGCACC
rnacentral:lncRNA from 1 species